CCUACGGGAGGCAGCAGUGAGGAAUAUUGGUCAAUGGCCGGAAGGCUGAACCAGCCAUGCCGCGUGAAGGUCAGUGCCCUAUGGGCGUUAAACUUCUUUUGUGCGGGAGCAAUAAUGGUCACGUGUGGCCAGACGAGAGUACCGUACGAAUAAGCAUCGGCUAACUCCGUGCCAGCAGCCGCGGUAAUACGGGGGAUGCAAGCGUUAUCCGGAUUUAUUGGGUUUAAAGGGUGCGUAGGCUGUUAGGUAAGUCAGCGGUGAAAUGCCCCCGCUCAACGGGGUGAAGUGCCAUUGAUACUGCCUGGCUGGAAUGCGGAUGCGGUGGGAGGAAUGUGUGGUGUAGCGGUGAAAUGCAUAGAUAUCACACAGAACACCGAUUGCGAAGGCAUCUCACGAAUCCGCGAUUGACGCUGAUGCACGAAAGCGUGGGUAUCAAACAGGAUUAGAUACCCUAGUAGUC
rnacentral:rRNA from 1 species